rnacentral:rRNA from 1 species
UACAGAGGGUGCGAGCGUUAAUCGGAUUUACUGGGCGUAAAGCGUGCGUAGGCGGCCAAUUAAGUCAAAUGUGAAAUCCCCGAGCUUAACUUGGGAAUUGCAUUCGAUACUGGUUGGCUAGAGUAUGGGAGAGGAUGGUAGAAUUCCAGGUGUAGCGGUGAAAUGAGUAGAGAUCUGGAGGAAUACCGAUGGCGAAGGCAGCCAUCUGGCCUAAUACUGACACUGAGGUGCGAAAGCAUGGGGAGCAAACAGG